ensembl:lncRNA novel transcript, antisense to CLEC16A
AUAUUGGUGUGCAGAACAGAGAACAGAAGACAGCUGAUAAGUCCAAGAACUGGGGAAAGGCUAAGUGAAUUCUAAUCCCUCUAGAUGAUGAAAUUCCCUGCUGCCAACCAACACGCUGGUAAGAGAAGACUAAGUGUUGGGGGAAAUGCUCAAGAUGGAGUCAAUGAAAAAAGAUUGGGGCUAGGCCAGACCGAUGGCUGAUGACGUUCUAUGACACAUCAUCUACAACAAGAACUGAAGAUACUAUCUGGAACUAUGUGAGUCAGAUAGAAUCAGGGAGUAUGUGCGGAGCCACAGAAAGGCCGUGAUGGAUAACAGCACAGAACAAGCUUCAAAAACCCACAGCUGAGGUUGUUAAGUGGACAGGGCUCUGUUGACGUCUGCCCUGGCAGACCUGUGGGACAUGGCUAACCGGACGGCUGGACACGAGCCUUCUGCUAUCUGCAGGGGAGAAACCUGAAGAGCAGCAACUUGGCUUUAGGCUUGUCACUUUUACUCUGGCUACAGGAUACGGUGGUGAGGAGAGUGCCGUGGCUCUGGGCAUGUGACAGCAGGGGACCUGUUCACCCCACGAGCCUGUGUCCUCUAAAGCACUGUUGUC